GGGGAAACGCCCGGUUACAUUCCGAACCCGGAAGCUAAGCCUUACAGCGCCGAUGGUACUGCAGGGGGGACCCUGUGGGAGAGUAGGACGCCGCCGAAC
rnacentral:rRNA from 1 species